GGGGGUGUAGCUCAUAUGGUAGAGCGCUCCCUUCGCAUCCGAGAGGCACGGGGUUCGAUCCUGCACCUCCA
rnacentral:tRNA from 1 species